UUAUUGGUCGUUUCUGCAGAGUAAACAUUCU
rnacentral:piRNA from 1 species